UGCUUGGCGACCUUAGCGCUGUGGUCCCACCUGAAUCCAUGCCGAACUCAGAAGUGAAACGCAGCAGCGCCGAUGGUAGUGUGGGGUCUCCCCAUGUGAGAGUAGGACAUCGCCAAGCUU
rnacentral:rRNA from 1 species